rnacentral:piRNA from 1 species
UGAGUGAAGGUCCAGGAUCCAAACAGC